rnacentral:rRNA from 1 species
UCGAACGACUUCCGUUAAUUGAUUAUGACGUGCUUGCACUGAAUGAGAUUUUAACACGAAGUGAGUGGCGGACGGGUGAGUAACACGUGGGUAACCUGCCCAGAAGCAGGGGAUAACACCUGGAAACAGAUGCUAAUACCGUAUAACAGAGAAAACCGCCUGGUUUUCUUUUAAAAGAUGGCUCUGCUAUCACUUCUGGAUGGACCCGCGGCGCAUUAGCUAGUUGGUGAGGUAACGGCUCACCAAGGCGAUGAUGCGUAGCCGACCUGAGAGGGUAAUCGGCCACAUUGGGACUGAGACACGGCCCAGACUCCUACGGGAGGCAGCAGUAGGGAAUCUUCCACAAUGGACGCAAGUCUGAUGGAGCAACGCCGCGUGAGUGAAGAAGGGUUUCGGCUCGUAAAGCUCUGUUGUUAAAGAAGAACGUGGGUGAGAGUAACUGUUCACCCAGUGACGGUAUUUAACCAGAAAGCCACGGCUAACUACGUGCCAGCAGCCGCGGUAAUACGUAGGUGGCAAGCGUUAUCCGGAUUUAUUGGGCGUAAAGCGAGCGCAGGCGGUCUUUUAAGUCUAAUGUGAAAGCCUUCGGCUCAACCGAAGAAGUGCAUUGGAAACUGGGAGACUUGAGUGCAGAAGAGGACAGUGGAACUCCAUGUGUAGCGGUGAAAUGCGUAGAUAUAUGGAAGAACACCAGUGGCGAAGGCGGCUGUCUGGUCUGUAACUGACGCUGAGGCUCGAAAGCAUGGGUAGCGAACAGGAUUAGAUACCCUGGUAGUCCAUGCCGUAAACGAUGAUUACUAAGUGUUGGAGGGUUUCCGCCCUUCAGUGCUGCAGCUAACGCAUUAAGUAAUCCGCCUGGGGAGUACGACCGCAAGGUUGAAACUCAAAAGAAUUGACGGGGGCCCGCACAAGCGGUGGAGCAUGUGGUUUAAUUCGAAGCUACGCGAAGAACCUUACCAGGUCUUGACAUCUUCUGCCAACCUAAGAGAUUAGGCGUUCCCUUCGGGGACAGAAUGACAGGUGGUGCAUGGUUGUCGUCAGCUCGUGUCGUGAGAUGUUGGGUUAAGUCCCGCAACGAGCGCAACCCUUAUUACUAGUUGCCAGCAUUCAGUUGGGCACUCUAGUGAGACUGCCGGUGACAAACCGGAGGAAGGUGGGGACGACGUCAAAUCAUCAUGCCCCUUAUGACCUGGGCUACACACGUGCUACAAUGGAUGGUACAACGAGUCGCGAAACCGCGAGGUUUAGCUAAUCUCUUAAAACCAUUCUCAGUUCGGACUGUAGGCUGCAACUCGCCUACACGAAGUCGGAAUCGCUAGUAAUCGCGGAUCAGCAUGCCGCGGUGAAUACGUUCCCGGGCCUUGUACACACCGCCCGUCACACCAUGAGAGUUUGUAACACCCAAAGCCGGUGGGGUAACCUUUUAGGAGC